GAACCGGGUGCUUGCACCUGGGGAUUAGUGGCGAACGGGUGAGUAACACGUGAGUAACCUGCCCUGGACUCUGGGAUAACCCCGAGAAAUCGGAGCUAAUACCGGAUAGGACCUUUCCUCGCAUGAGGUUUGGUGGAAAGUUUUUCGGUCUGGGAUGGACUCGCGGCCUAUCAGCUUGUUGGUGAGGUAAUGGCUCACCAAGGCGUCGACGGGUAGCCGGCCUGAGAGGGUGACCGGCCACACUGGGACUGAGACACGGCCCAGACUCCUACGGGAGGCAGCAGUGGGGAAUAUUGCACAAUGGGCGCAAGCCUGAUGCAGCAACGCCGCGUGCGGGAUGACGGCCUUCGGGUUGUAAACCGCUUUUAGUAGGGAAGAAGGGCUUCGGCUUGACGGUACCUGCAGAAAAAGGACCGGCUAACUACGUGCCAGCAGCCGCGGUAAUACGUAGGGUCCGAGCGUUGUCCGGAAUUAUUGGGCGUAAAGAGCUCGUAGGCGGUUUGUCGCGUCUGCUGUGAAAACUAGAGGCUCAACCUCUAGCCUGCAGUGGGUACGGGCAGACUUGAGUGGUGUAGGGGAGACUGGAAUUCCUGGUGUAGCGGUGGAAUGCGCAGAUAUCAGGAGGAACACCGAUGGCGAAGGCAGGUCUCUGGGCACUUACUGACGCUGAGGAGCGAAAGCGUGGGGAGCGAACAGGAUUAGAUACCCUGGUAGUCCACGCCGUAAACGUUGGGCGCUAGAUGU
rnacentral:rRNA from 1 species